UAAAAGAUUUAAAAACAAAUAUUGGGCUGGAGAGAUGGCUCAGCGGUUAAGAGCACCCGAUUGCUCUUCCAGAGGUCAUGAGUUCAAUUCCCAGCAACCAUAUGGUGGCUCACAACCAUCUGUAAAGAGAUCCGGUGCCCUCUUCUGGUGUGUCUGAAGACAGCUACCGUGUACUUACAUGUAAUAAAUAAAUAAAUAAAUCUUUAAAAAAAAAACAAAUAUAACCACAGUAAGUGAAAGACUGUAAAUUCAAACACAUUGACAAGUAAAAAGUCUUAAGAACUCCAGGCAGUGAUGGCACACACAUACACACACACCUUUAGUCUCAGUGCUUGGGGGACAGAGGCAGGUGGAGUUCUGUGAGUACAAGGCUAGCCUGGUCUACAGAGCGAAUUCCAAGACAACCGGGGCUACAAAGAGAAACCGUCUCAGAAAAAAAAGAAAAGUCUAAGUAAAUGGAAGAAUAUACCAUGAUCUGGAUUGGGAAAAUGGAAUACUGCUAAAAUGCUGACACUAUCAAAAUAAUAAAGAUUCAAGUAAUCUCUGUCAAAAUCCCUAUAACAUCUUUCAUAGAGCAAUCCUAAAAUUCACGUGGGAGACCUUUGAAAGCCAAAGCAGUGUCUGAGAAAGACGACGGAGUACGGAGGCGCAGACUCUAUUUGAGCCUGUUAUAAAACUAGAGUAAUCGAAACAGUGACAGUCCCGAGGUAAGGACAGGCAUGGGACAUGGCUAAGAAUGCAGGAGAGCCCAGAAACAAACUCGAUUGUAGACAUGGAGCUAAUCAACAAGGCCAGGAGAACACGGUGAGGAAACAAUGCCCUCCAUUAAGUGGUGUGGCCUACAGAGGUCUCUUGGCUUCACAGUCAGGGGAAGCCAGCAUCUGAGAGAAACAGGAGGAACUUCAUGGCUUUUCCAGGCCUCGAGGGAACAAACUAGGGGAAGUCACAUCCCUGCCUCCAGCUAAACUGUCUGUAGCUUAGGCCCUGGCCACCUACUCCUCCCCCUCCAGAGAACACAGGAGUCCAUAGGCUUCCACAGAGAACCCUGGUGGCCAUGUUCUAGGCUUCCAUCUCCACCACAACCCAAGUUCUCAGUUGCCAUCCGAGACCCUCUCGGGUCCAUCCACAGCUCCUUUGCCUCUACUCCCAAGCUCCGGAUGGCCAUCUGGUCUAGCUGCUGGCAGCAGCCCACUCUCCUAGAAGUCCCGGUGUGGAAGGGGUUAAGAAGAUGUGCCCAUCCUUGCUGUUCUUCUCCCAGACCUGCCCCCCUUGCUCUCCCUAUUGACUUCCUAGUCUAUGUGGAGCAGUAAUCCCUCUGUGUCCAUAGCCUGCCAUGUCUUACCUCCCUCAGAGCCCAUUGGACACAACUUGUCGCUAUCCUGCUUGCCGGCCUAAGCUAUCACAUACAUUUCAUUCUUGGCUCUUCUCACAAGGAACCCUCUGUCUUCAGUUCCCCCAAUGAUCUGGAGUCUACAUGUUCUUGGAAGGUGGCAAAACUAAUCACUUGCCACACCUCACAUCUCGACGUCCUGCCUCCUUGCUUCAGCCUUAUUCCCUGUGGGGCUCCAAGGUCUCAGAUGAAAGACAAGGCACUUCUUACUCAGAGAGGGCUAGAGCAGCCAAGUCUAGCUCAAAGGAGAACCCAAAAUUCCAGCUCACCAGCUCAGCUGACCCCCGAGUGGUCCAGGAACAGGAGCACAUGAGCUGAAGCAAAGCCACUGGUGCCUGAUCACUCACUAUGUCCUUUACACAUUCAAGUUCCCCAGAAACCAUCAGGACAUCAGCUUGGGAGCAGCCUGAAGACAGACCUGUAUGUCAGGCAGCACUGAAAAAGCUGAGAUUUGGCUCUGCUCUGCUCAUAGAGAUCUUCACUGCUUUCCCUGACCUCAUGAUGCCUGGCAGAGGCACGUGCACUCUUAAAGCACUGGACCCUGAACUGUAUCCUGAGCCUCUCCUGCUCCAGCUCAGUGGGAACCCUCAGGAAACGCAGGUCCAUCCAGGCUAGUGCGACUACCCAAAGGCUGCUGGCCUAACAUGAUAGUACAGGCCUCCACCUGCACCGGAGUAUAAGCCAACCUGAUCCCACUGGGAAACUUAACUGAUCUGCAGGAGUUACCAAGGCCCCGAGAAGAUGGAGGGGCUGCUCCUGGAAAGAGAAAAUUCCCAGCCCCAUCUCAGCCCUGGCAUCUCCUCUCUUCUUCCCAGAGACAACUUUCUGAGCUAUGGGGGAUUUUCUCCACUAUAUGCCCCAAGACCACAAAGCCCCUCCUUGCUCUAAGAGCAACGACACCUAUGUCUGUGGUGCCCCACCUCAGUUCUUUCUACCAUCACACAGCAAACAUAGCUGAGUGUGCUGGACCGUGAGUCCCCAAGAUACAGGGACAGGCCAUCCCAUGACCCAGAGGGCUCACAGCACAGUUGAUCCAGAAGAGACCAUGCAACUCUGAGGCUGCAGCUACCAGGAAAAGCGCAGACAGGGACCCAGUGAAAGCCACUGGGGCCAGGGGACGUUACAGAAAGUCACAAGGGGCCAGGGUGUCCGGGUGGGGCUAAAAGCAGGAUGUGCUGCAAUUCCCAGCAAGGCAAGGAGACCACUAGACCUCAGAGCAAUAAGGCCAGGAGGGGUUGACAAGGACUGGACAGAGAAGCCAGGUACAAUCUUGCAGGAUGGUGAAGAGGGGAGCGACGGGGCUCCUCUGAACUUUGCUUUUGAGGCAGAGAUAAGCAGGACUUCCAUGGUAAGAUGGGGUAUGGAGGCCAGAGUGGAGCCUUCUACCAAUCUCUUGUGACAAGAGGAAGCACAGCCUCACAUCAAGCCCGGAGGUCUCAGCACUCCCAGGCUUCCCACUGUCCCUCACUGAAACCAAUCAACGGCAAAGUCCCUACAAGAUCAUUGAGUUUGAUGACCAAACCUACACUCUAUCUGAAAGGGUUUCAGGGAGAGAAGAGUUGGUCUGUCCAUCAGACAGGGAAAUGUGUCACAACCUGACAGGUUGGGGCCACAGAGCUUAGGAGUCCGCUGCAGCACACAGGGAGAGACAUGAAUACCGGCCUUCCACCUUGGGGAAGACCCAGGACCUUUCAGUUCUAGGCUGAUGAUGUAACCGUGGGUCCAUCAAACAGUAACAAAUAUCUGUGGAUAUCUGUCACCCCUGUUUGCAGUCCCAUCUGGAGACUGCUCCCUCAACCUGUUAGGGCAGACGCAUCUGGCAGCAUCAUAGUGUGUUUGGUGUGGUACAGCUCGGACUGUAAGAAGCUACUUCACAGGUGAGACAGAAAAGGGAGUCACUGCCACAGAGGUCUCCACAUCAGAGGGUGUGAGAAAGAAAGCGAAAGAAUGUAAACACAGGAACCAACAUGGACGGAUGCCACACCACGUCACUUUGUGGCUCUCACUUCCGAGAGCACACUUCAGAACAUGAGGAAGGCUUCCUGGAAACCAACGGGUAAAAAUCCAAAGAGUAUACAUGUGUAUGUGACCCUUCACAGACUGAAAGACAAAACGGCCUGAGUAACAGUGCUCUGGCCACCGCCCCCCCCCCAAGUGUAGUAACAUUAGUCAUACGCUGAUUUCAAAAAUGGUGGGACCACACACUAGAAAAUAAGCUUUAGGUCACAUUAAGGCCUGCCACACUGUCCGAGGCAGAAAUCAGUGGAGAGGUGUAUGUGCGCCUGUGUGCGAGGUUUCUCAGAGUGCUGUAUGCAUGUGUGAUUAAAAUCUAAAUAUAGCCCCCAAACUGUUCAGAAUGAACAUGGAGAUGAUUAA